rnacentral:lncRNA from 1 species
GAUAUCUUUUAGGGAUCUAGGAUGCAUCUGGUCGUCUCGAGGAAUGAAGUACGAAUGGCAGUGAUGUCGAAUUUUAAAAUUUUAGAGGAUGGCUUAUUGACAUUUGGGAUGGAUUUUAUGAUGUGGUUUCGUUUAGAUGAGUUGGCUUUGGAUUUUAUGAAUCUUUGAGUGUUGUGUCGUAUGAUUAUAACUACCAAGUCUUAUGAAUUGUGGAUUAUGGGUGUGAAUUAUGACUUAAAUGAUUUUUAGUGUCCUCAAAUUUAUAUGGAUUUCGUAUUAGAUUGUUGACUGAAUUUUAAUAAUAUGGAUUUUAAGACAGCGUCACACCUCCUGAAUGUGAUAAAUCGGGGGGCGUGACAGAGGUGGUAUUAGAGCAUUAUUUGAGAAUCACUAUAAGAUAGUUGAUACAUUUGAUUUGUAAAAUUAUAUUGAGAUUUAGUAAAUUAUAUAGAAAUCGAUGAAAAUUUUCUUUGAUAUCUUUUAGGUUUCUAGGAUGCAUCUGGUCGUCUCGAGGAAUGAAGUACGAAUGGCAGUGAUGUCGAAUUUUUAAAUUUUAGAGGAUGGCUUAUUGACAUUUGGGAUGGAUUUUAUGAUGUGGUUUCGUUUAGAUGAGUUGACAUUGGAUUUUAUGAAUCUAUGAGUGUUGUGUCGAAUGAUUAUAACUACCAAGUCUUAUGAAUUAUGGAUAAUGGGUGUGAAUUAUGACUUGAAUGAUUUUUAGUGUCCUCAAAUUUAGUUUGGAUUUCGUAUUAUAUUGUUGACUGAAUUUUAAUAUUAUGGAUUUUAAGACAGGGUCACACCUCCUGAAUGUGAUAAAUCGGGGGGCGUGACAGAGGUGGUAUCAGAGCAUUAUUUGAGGAUCACUAUAAGAUAGUUAAUACAUUUGAUUUGCAAAAUUAUAUU